UGCGCACAGCCCUGCCUACCCUUCGCUCUCGGCUAGGCAAGUAGAACUGGUCCUAGUUGUUUGGGCUCGUUUGGGGUUCGCUCUGGAGCUUUUAAUAUCCAAAGGCAUCUUUGUUCUCGCCAUGGAGCCAUUGCUCAUCUCAUUUAGCUCUUACGUAAGACAUGCUUUGGAUCUGAUAUGUGGGGAAAAAAAACAUUACCCAUUUUACUCGUUUUGAAUAAGCUAAAAAUAACCAUCCUUCCCAUUUCCUGGAGCCAAUAAAGACUGCUUGGAAAGAAUAGAGGAAAGAAAGACACGGAAUGUGAAAAAGAGCCGAGUCUGGGCAUACAGAAACCUGGGUUCAAAGCCUGGCUCUGCCCCUCGUCUGUUGUGCGACCCAGACAAGUCACUCGGGCACCUCAUCCACCAAAUGAGAAGGUUGUGCCAGAACCUCUGGCCUUUGAGAUGCCUGCGGCUCUGACAUCCUGCUUUUCUGUGAAAAGUAAGACGGGGAGUUGAAGCAUCUUACUUUGCUAGCCAUCCAGGAGAUGAGUCAUUUUUAUUAUUCAGAAACUUUUCCAAAUUAAUUUUGACGUGGUCCUGUGUGGUAAGAAAUAGCUAAUGUCUUCUCUCCUCCCGUUCCUGUUCUAGUGUCUAGAAAUAGUCAUUCAGACUCACGGUCUCCCCUUUUCAACUCCUGCCACCCUCCCUGCCGUGCAGUUUCUGACUCCCCUAUCCUUUGUAACUGAUCCUGUCAAGGUCACUGUCACCUCCUGUGGUCGAAUCAACAGGCAUGUCCCAGUCCUUUUCCUACCUUGACUUCUUCUCAGGAACAUUUCGCCAUAGGUGACCAUCUCUCUUUCUUGAGAUACUCUCUUCCCUAGGGCUGAGAGGGAAAAUGACUUUGCCCUCGCAGAGCCCUGAGUGCCAGCGCCAGGAUUUGUACCCAUGAUGUUAGUGCCAAAGCCCCUGGGCCUCAAUGCUGCAGGUACCAUGUCAGCAUUUUCCGUGAUUUGCCUUCCCGCUGGGAUCAUUUUGCCACCACAUUCUAGAUUCUCCACGUGAUUCAGUCCUUCACUCAUUCAUCAAUGACUUGUCAACAGCCAACUCUUUACCAGGCACCAGAUGAUGAGAUGGGGGUAUAGCCAGACCAGCAUGACCCCCGCUCUCCCAGCAUUUAUAAUUCAGUAGAAGAGUCAGGCAUUAAACAGCUACCUUAAUUGAGGCUAAUGUCCAGAACAAAUAGAUGAGUGGUCAUCCUCCCCCAAGCUGGUCAAACUGUACCCGGAAUGCUGUGUUCUGGAAGCCAGCCCUUAACAGGAACACCAAGAAACAGAAAGACGUCUGGAGGCGACAUAGGCUGGGGUCUGGACACCCUGUCCCGUGAAGAAAGAAUCACAGCUAAACACCAUGGAGAAGGGCAAAAUCUGGGGUACUCUGUGCUGACUGUCCUUGAUGACUCCUCUUGCAUUGUCACAGGAUGGCCAGCAGCCUCAUGGUCACAAGAUGGCUGCCGACACCUCUCUGAGCUAUAUCCUUCUAGGUUUAAAUCAAAUAGAAGUAAACAAGAGCUUGUGUCUGAGCAUCUCCACAAAAGUUCUGAGAUUCACUCUGGUCAGACCGGCUUAGAUCACACGCUGACCCUUGAGCCGGUAGUUGUGCUCACUGACUUGGACCUCACACGUGAGCUCUCCUGGAACCAUGUGGACCACAGAGACUAAGAGGGGAAGGGGCAGAUCCCAAAGAAACACGGUGGCUCUUGCCAGAGUGAAGGGAAACGUGCCAAGGAGACAAACCACAUCUUCCAGCUUUGUGGACGAGUGUGGGCUGGAAUGAGUUGUGCGGCAGCGUUGGCACAACCACGGGGAAGUGCUUGGCAGGCGGAAGGGUGGGGGAAGACCCAGAGUGCAGGCGGUGAGAGAUAGGCUUCAGAGCGCAGGUAGCGCUGUGGACUUUGGAGCCAUUCUGGACCCCCUGCCUCAGGAACAACAAGUCCGGCCUGUCGCGAAGGUCUCUCCGUCCCUUAGCGCUUCGGGAUUUGGCGGCGGAGCAGCGGCUGCUGUCCUGCACCAGCUCCAUCUGACAAGACUAGGUGGCUUUGUACCGUCCUCUCCCUUGGUUGAUAUCAGGACGUGAAUAUGUUUGACGGUGACGUGAGCCACUGAUGCUGCAAAGGAACAAGAUGCAUGCCAGGCCUCGGUGCCAGGGCAUGAUGUGAGACAGCCAGGGUCCUUCGGGGCUGAUGAGCGUGCACAGGGGAUCACAGGCUGACCCCUCACUAGGAGU